rnacentral:rRNA from 1 species
GUAACAAGGUUUCCGUAGGUGAACCUGCGGAAGGAUCAUUAUCUAUUCCAUGAGGUGCGGUCGCGGCCCUCGGCGGGAGCAACAGCUGCCGUCGGGCGGUAGAGGUAACACUUUCACGCGCCGCAUGUCUGAAUCCUUUUUUUACGAGCACCUUUCGUUCUCCUUCGGCGGGGCAACCUGCCGUUGGAACCUAUCAAAACCUUUUUUUGCAUCUAGCAUUACCUGUUCUGAUAAAAACAAUCGUUACAACUUUCAACAAUGGAUCUCUUGGCUCUGGCAUCGAUGAAGAACGCAGCGAAAUGCGAUAAGUAGUGUGAAUUGCAGAAUUCAGUGAAUCAUCGAAUCUUUGAACGCACAUUGCGCCCCUUGGUAUUCCAUGGGGCAUGCCUGUUCGAGCGUCAUCUACACCCUCAAGCUCUGCUUGGUGUUGGGCGUCUGUCCCGCCUCUGCGCGCGGACUCGCCCCAAAUUCAUUGGCAGCGGUCCUUGCCUCCUCUCGCGCAGCACAUUGCGCUUCUCGAGGUGCGCGGCCCGCGUCCACGAAGCAACAUUACCGUCUUUGACCUCGGAUCAGGUAGGGAUACCCGCUGAACUUAA